AACGAACGCUGGCGGCAGGCCUAACACAUGCAAGUCGAGCGCGCCUUCGGGUGAGCGGCGGACGGGUGAGUAACGCGUGGGAAUAUGCCCUUCUCUACGGAAUAGUCCUGGGAAACUGGGGGUAAUACCGUAUACGCCCUUUGGGGGAAAGGUUUAUCGGGGAAGGAUUAGCCCGCGUUGGAUUAGGUAGUUGGUGGGGUAAUGGCCUACCAAGCCGACGAUCCAUAGCUGGUUUGAGAGGAUGAUCAGCCACACUGGGACUGAGACACGGCCCAGACUCCUACGGGAGGCAGCAGUGGGGAAUCUUAGACAAUGGGGGCAACCCUGAUCUAGCCAUGCCGCGUGAGUGAUGAAGGCCUUAGGGUUGUAAAGCUCUUUCAGCUGGGAAGAUAAUGACGGUACCAGCAGAAGAAGCCCCGGCUAACUCCGUG
rnacentral:rRNA from 1 species